AUCAACUUUGUGAUUUUUGUUUUUGUUGUGAGGAAGCUGUUCUCUAUACAAGCUGUAAAAAAACAAACAAAACUACAGAAAUUUAUAACUGGAUUUAGGUGUUUUUCAGUUCUAGCACCCCUUUUUGGAUUUACAUGGACUUUAGGAUUCUUUUCUAUAAAUGAAGAUACUAUCGUGUUGAGUUAUCUGUUUGUUAUCAUCAAUUCAUUUCAGGGAUUGCUGAUAUUUAUUGUACAUGGAUUAUUAAACCCAAAAAUUCAAGGUUCAUGGAAACGGAAAAUAUCAGUGUUUCGAAAGAGAGAAAAGUUUACAUCUACAACAAAGACAACCGACGAAAUUGCUUUUGACGACAUUACAACUGUCUCGAGUAAAAGAGUUUAUUCAAGUUUAGAGCCUACAGAAGGUAACCAGUAUUCAGGUUUAGAGCCUAUAGAAGGUAACCUGUAUACAGGUUUAGAGCCUACAGAAGGUAACCUGUAUUCAGGUUUAAAGCCUACAGAAGGUAACCUGUAUUCAGGUUUAAAGCCUACAGAAGGCAUUGAGACUGAAUCAUGACUACAAAACCCGAACU